GUUGGUUAAAAUCCUUCCUUUAUUA
rnacentral:tRNA from 1 species